GCCCUGGUAGCUCAGCUGGCCGGAGCGGCUGACUUGUAACAGCCAUAUUGGUUGCAAGAAAUCAGCAGGUCGGGGGUUCAAAUCCCCCCCAGGGCU
rnacentral:tRNA from 1 species